rnacentral:rRNA from 1 species
AGGGCUGUCGCUGACCUUUCANGGUCGUGCACGCCCGAGCGCUCUCGCCACAAUCCAUCUCACCCCUUUGUGCAUCACCGCGUGGGUCCCCCUUUGCGGGGAGGGCUCGCGUUUUCACACAAAACUUGAUACAGUCUAGAAUGUUUAUUUUUGCGGUAACACGCAAUCAAUACAACUUUCAACAACGGAUCUCUUGGCUCUCGCAUCGAUGAAGAACGCAGCGAAAUGCGAUACGUAAUGUGAAUUGCAGAAUUCAGUGAAUCAUCGAAUCUUUGAACGCACCUUGCGCCCCUUGGCAUUCCGAGGGGCACACCCGUUUGAGUGUCGUGAAAUUCUCAAAAUCCUUUUCUUUGAUCGGAAUAGGACUUUUGGACUUGGAGGUUCAAUGCUCGCUUUNGCCUUUGAAAGCGAGCUCCUCUCAAAUGAAUCAGUGGGGUCCGCUUUGCUGGUCCUUGACGUGAUAAGAUGCUUCUACGUUUUGGAUUUGGCAUUGUUUUCUCCGCUCCUAACUGUCCCAUGGGACAACGAUGGUGCUUCGGUCGUCGCCAUCUAUGGCGGGAGGCUGAACCCACAAAGAACCUUGACCUCAAAUCGGGUGAGACUACCCGCUGAACUUAAGCAUAUCAAUAAGCGGAGGAAAAGAAACUAACAAGGAUUCCCCUAGUAACUGCGAGUGAAGCGGGAAAAGCUCAAAUUUAAAAUCUGGUGGUCUUUGG